GGACUACUCGGGUAUCUAAUCCCGUUCGCUCCCCUAGCUUUCGCACCUGAGCGUCAGGAACUUGCCAGGACGCUGCCUUCGCCUUUGGUGUUCUUCCAGAUCUCUACGCAUUUCACCGCUCCACCUGGAAUUCCGCGUCCCUCUCAAGCCCUCAAGUCAAGCCGUCUUUCGAGGCCUGUGGUGGUUAAGCCACCACCUGUCACUCGAAACUGACUCGACCGCCUGCGUGCGCUUUACGCCCAAUAAAUCCGGACAACGCUUGCCCCCUACGUAUUACCGCGGCUGCUGGCAC
rnacentral:rRNA from 1 species